rnacentral:rRNA from 1 species
CCUACGGGAGGCUGCAGUGGGGAAUAUUGGACAAUGGGCGAAAGCCUGAUCCAGCCAUGCCGCGUGUGUGAAGAAGGCCUUCGGGUUGUAAAGCACUUUCAGUGGGGAAGAAAGCCUUGGGGCUAAUACCCUCGAGGAAGGACAUCACCCACAGAAGAAGCACCGGCUAACUCCGUGCCAGCAGCCGCGGUAAUACGGAGGGUGCGAGCGUUAAUCGGAAUUACUGGGCGUAAAGCGCGCGUAGGCGGUCUGAUAAGCCGGUUGUGAAAGCCCCGGGCUCAACCUGGGAACGGCAUCCGGAACUGUCAGGCUAGAGUGCAGGAGAGGAAGGUAGAAUUCCCGGUGUAGCGGUGAAAUGCGUAGAGAUCGGGAGGAAUACCAGAGGCGAAGGCGGCCUUCUGGACUGACACUGACGCUGAGGUGCGAAAGCGUGGGUAGCAAACAGGAUUAGAUACCCUAGUAGUC